GACGAACGCUGGCGGCGUGCCUAAUACGUGCAAGUCGAGCGAAUCAAUAGGAGCUUGCUCCUGUUGGUUAGCGGCGGACGGGUGAGUAACACGUGGGCAACCUGCCUGUAAGACUGGGAUAACACCGGGAAACCGGUGCUAAUACCGGAUAAUCCUUUUCCUCUCAUGAGGAAAAGCUGAAAGUCGGUUUCGGCUGACACUUACAGAUGGGCCCGCGGCGCAUUAGCUAGUUGGUGAGGUAACGGCUCACCAAGGCGACGAUGCGUAGCCGAGCUGAGAGGGUGAUCGGCCACACUGGGACUGGGACACGGCCCAGACUCCUACGGGAGGCAGCAGUAGGGAAUCUUCCACAAUGGACGAAAGUCUGAUGGAGCAACGCCGCGUGAGCGAUGAAGGCCUUCGGGUCGUAAAGCUCUGUUGUUAGGGAAGAACAAGUACCGGAGUAACUGCCGGUACCUUGACGGUACCUAACCAGAAAGCCACGGCUAACUACGUGCCAGCAGCCGCCGUAACAC
rnacentral:rRNA from 1 species